AGAGAUUUAAGUUAACUAGACUAAGAGCCUUCAAAGCCCUAAGCAGGAGUUAAAAUCCCCUAAUCUCUG
rnacentral:tRNA from 1 species